AUGGGGCGAACCACAACUAAUCCUAUUUGGUGUCAGAUAUGGAAAUUAUACUGUCCGGCAAAAGUCAAAAUUUUUAUAUGGCGUACGUUACAUGGCACUCUCCCAUGUCGGGCAACACUUGCUAAUAGACACAUGAAGGUCUCGCCCCUUUGUCCUACUUGAUCUCAGGGUGUAGAAGACACGAAGCAUAUGCUUUUCCUAUGUAAUAAAGCAAAGGAGGUUUGGAAAAGGCUAUGAAUAGAUGAGAUUAUUGAUAGAGCUUGUGAGGUUGAUCGUGCUGGAGAGGCGACACUGGAAUACCUUUUAGUUCUUCCAGAUCAAGAUUUGCGUAUUAUGAGGUACCAAAAUGUACGAGAAAUGAUAGCUAUUUCAGCUUGGUAUCUAUGGUGGGAGAGAAGGAAAUUAGUGCACAAGGAAACAACUCAGAAUGCAACUCAGAUAUCAAUGGGGAUCAUAGCCCUCACAUACAAUUUUGUAAAUGCAUCAUCUUCAAAGGCGUCCAUGAAAAAAGGGGGUUGGCAUUGUCCCCCUAGGGGUUUCGUGAAACUCAAUGUUGACGCCUCUUUUGACCAUGACAUGCUGAAGGGUACGAUGGGGGCGGUUUUGCGAGACGACAAAGGUAGGUUUACUGCAGGAGAAAAUGAAAAGAUUGACCAUUGUGCGGAUGUGCUGAUGGCAGAAGCUUUAGCCCUCAAAUUUGGACUAACACUAGCGCAAAGGGCAGGGUGCAAUCGCCUAAUCAUCAACUCA
rnacentral:rRNA from 1 species